rnacentral:rRNA from 1 species
AUUGAACGCUGGCGGCAGGCCUAACACAUGCAAGUCGAACGAGUGGCGGACGGGUGAGUAAUGUCUGGGAAACUGCCCGAUGGAGGGGGAUAACUACUGGAAACGGUAGCUAAUACCGCAUACUAUUGGAGCGGCCGAUAUCGGAUUAGCUAGUUGGUGGGGUAACGGCUCACCAAGGCGACGAUCCGUAGCUGGUUUGAGAGGACGACCAGCCACACUGGGACUGAGACACGGCCCAGACUCCUACGGGAGGCAGCAGUGGGGAAUUUUGGACAAUGGGGGAAACCCUGAUCCAGCCAUCCCGCGUGUGCGAUGAAGGCCUUCGGGUUGUAAAGUACUUUCAGCGAGGAGGCGUUACUCGCAGAAGAAGCACCGGCUAACUCCGUGCCAGCAGCCGCGGUAAUAC